AGAGUUUGAUCCUGGCUCAGGAUGAACGCUAGCUACAGGCUUAACACAUGCAAGUCGAGGGGAAACGAUAGAGAAAGCUUGCUUUUUCUAGGCGUCGACCGGCGCACGGGUGAGUAACGCGUAUCCAACCUGCCCACCACUUGGGGAUAACCUUGCGAAAGUAAGACUAAUACCCAAUGACGUCUCUAGAAGGCAUCUGAAAGGGAUUAAAGAUUUAUCGGUGAUGGAUGGGGAUGCGUCUGAUUAGCUUGUUGGCGGGGUAACGGCCCACCAAGGCAACGAUCAGUAGGGGUUCUGAGAGGAAGGUCCCCCACAUUGGAACUGAGACACGGUCCAAACUCCUACGGGAGGCAGCAGUGAGGAAUAUUGGUCAAUGGGCGAGAGCCUGAACCAGCCAAGUAGCGUGCAGGAUGACGGCCCUAUGGGUUGUAAACUGCUUUUAUAAGGGAAUAAAGUGAGCCUCGUGAGGCUUUUUGCAUGUACCUUAUGAAUAAGGACCGGCUAAUUCCGUGCCAGCAGCCGCGGUAAUACGGAAGGUCCGGGCGUUAUCCGGAUUUAUUGGGUUUAAAGGGAGCGUAGGCCGGAGAUUAAGCGUGUUGUGAAAUGUAGAUGCUCAACAUCUGCACUGCAGCGCGAACUGGUUUCCUUGAGUACGCACAAAGUGGGCGGAAUUCGUGGUGUAGCGGUGAAAUGCUUAGAUAUCACGAAGAACUCCGAUUGCGAAGGCAGCUCACUAAACUGUAACUGACGUUCAUGCUCGAAAGUGUGGGUAUCAAACAGGAUUAGAUACCCUGGUAGUCCACACGGUAAACGAUGAAUACUCGCUGUUUGCGAUAUACAGCAAGCGGCCAAGCGAAAGCGUUAAGUAUUCCACCUGGGGAGUACGCCGGCAACGGUGAAACUCAAAGGAAUUGACGGGGGCCC
rnacentral:rRNA from 1 species